rnacentral:tRNA from 1 species
GAGGUAUUAGUAUAUUUAGUAUUAUUCUUUUUCGAGGAAUGGGAUUUAUACCUUU